CAGUAGCCGCGGUAAUACGUAGGUGGCAAGCGUUGUCCGGAAUUAUUGGGCGUAAAGGGCUCGCAGGCGGUUUCUUAAGUCUGAUGUGAAAGCCCCCGGCUCAACCGGGGAGGGUCAUUGGAAACUGGGGAACUUGAGUGCAGAAGAGGAGAGUGGAAUUCCACGUGUAGCGGUGAAAUGCGUAGAGAUGUGGAGGAACACCAGUGGCGAAGGCGACUCUCUGGUCUGUAACUGACGCUGAGGAGCGAAAGCGUGGGGAGCGAACAGGAUUAGAUACCCCCGUAGUCCCUGUCUCUUAUAC
rnacentral:rRNA from 1 species